UAGCAGCUGAGGGAGCAGUGUUUCUCUGAGUCAAGACUGCACUUGUCUCAAGUUAUCAGUGGUUGUUGGAGGAGUUCUCUUUUUCGUUGAAUUUGGACUGAGAAAAAGAAUAGAGAGCAAGCUACAGAUGGGCGGUUCCCAUAAUCUCCUGAAGAAUGAACAUGUAUCCAUGUAUUUGACUUAAAAGAGCUUUCUAUCAAGACCUGUUUCUUGCUAGCACAGGUGUGGGUCUGCGGGUCCGUCCACCCAAUUAUUCAUGGAAAUGGGCCAUGGAGUUGCAUGAGAGAAGAUUGACAAGAGUACUGCUGCAUAUAUGGAUACUCAGAGAAGGAGUGGGUAGUUGCAGACAAAUUUGGAGACCAGUGCUCAAGUCAACCAGAAAAUAUUAGCAGUGGAGGAGAAACAUUGGUGGUGUAAGCCUCUGUGGCCAGACAUUAUAAGGAGUUCCUAAUGGAAGUUCAGCAAAUGUGAUGGCAAUAACAGAUCGCCAAAAACUGCUUUCUUAUGCUGACAGAACAGGAGCAAUCAGGACUCUCAUGUGUCCAUUCUACUUUUGCUGCUCUGCACAUAAUGAAUGUAGUUAAGUUCACUCUGCUCAAAGUACGUGUCUCAGCCAGACUACCACAAGAAGCCUUUUGAAAGGAACAACUGAAUGUUGCCAUCCUGUAUUGUACUCUGCUAGGACACAUAUAUUUAUGUAUGAUAGCUAUGGUUUAUUAAAAGCUAUGAUUUUUGUAGUAGGUCAUUCUUCCUCUUUUAAUCUUUCAAUAUAGACUUCUGAUCAGAUCCUUCUUCAUUCUUGUAGUUCGGUAGCAAUUUAUCUACCUUCUUGUGGCAUAUGGGUUAAGAUUAUCGUAUACUCAUGAUGGUAGCCUUAAUUGUCAUCCAUAUCUAAUUAUUUUAUAGUCUGAAAUCCUCUUGUAUUUUGUCCUGGUUGUGCAACUGUAUUCACAUAUUCACUAAGCCAAAUGUACUUUGUAUUCAGAAAAAUUACAUAGCACUUAUUAGAAAAUACAUUAUUUUGAGCAUGAAAUGGAAAAUGAACAAGUUGCCAAUUAACACUAAAAUACAUGAGAGCACAAAUGUCAGCAAAUAAGUUCAAGAUGUUGAAUUACUAGCAAGGUAAUACUUAUUGGACAAGAUCUGUCUGGAAGCAAAUAGUAAGGGACUUGCCAUUAAUUGAUUCUAGAGAAACUCUUAGUACAAUAAAUGGAGUUAGUCCUCCAAAACCCCAUACUGUAAACUGGGCAGGCCUGUUGUAUGAAUUUGUACAUGUGACUUAUGGAAAGUUCAAGUGAUCAUUGCAGCAGUCAUGGUGCCUCUUUCAGCACUUCUAUUUGAUUUCCUCUGCUCUGGUUGUGAAACACUUUGCUUCCGAGGGCAAAAGGAUUUGGAACAUUAUUGAACAUGAGGUAGGAAUAAGAAGUGCAAAAGAAAGUUUUGGAAAAAUCGGGUUAAAUAAUCCCACUACAGGAAAUGACAGUUAUUCCUUAAAUCAUUAACUCAAAUUUCCCCAAAGCAUUCAGUUUGCUUCAUAUACCACCAAAUGAUCAGUAUUCUAUCAAAGUUAAUUAAAAUAAAAAAUGAGGGAAAUUGUUAGUAAUAUUAUAAAAAUCAAUCCGUCCUGCAUAUUUUUUCUGGCUGUUACAUCAAUCUUGCAUAUGCUGUCUAAUAACAGGAGUAUCAUAGGAAUAAAAAUGGGAACAUUAUUUUUAAAAUCAGUGAUUUUGUUUUCCAACAAAUCAUCUAAUACUUUCAUAAAUAAUGAUAGAAAAGAUCUCAGCUAAUCACUCUGAGUUUACUUCGUGUCUGGAAAUUUUCACUGCAAGGAAGUAUCCUUGCAGCAUUUAAACUCAGAAUUUCUCUAAGUUUUAAUGAGAAUUUUUUUGC